UGGAGAAGAAAGAAUACAUCCAGGCGG
rnacentral:piRNA from 1 species